CCUACGGGAGGCAGCAGUGGGGAAUAUUGGGCAAUGGGCGCAAGCCUGACCCAGCAACGCCGCGUGAAGGAAGAAGGCUUUCGGGUUGUAAACUUCUUUUCUCAGGGACGAAGCAAGUGACGGUACCUGAGGAAUAAGCCACGGCUAACUACGUGCCAGCAGCCGCGGUAAUACGUAGGUGGCAAGCGUUAUCCGGAUUUACUGGGUGUAAGGGGCGUGGAGGCGGGAAAGCAAGUCAGAUGUGAAAACCAUGGGCUCAACCUGUUGCCUGAAUUUGAAACUGUUUUUCUUGAGUACUGGAGAGGCAGACGGAAUUCCUAGUGUAGCGGUGAAAUGCGUAGAUAUUAGGAGGGACACCAGUGGCGAAGGCGGUCUGCUGGACAGUAACUGACGCUGAGGCGCGAAAGCGUGGGGAGCAAACAGGAUUAGAUACCCUGGUAGUC
rnacentral:rRNA from 1 species